AAGAAACCAAGAAUCAGAGAUUAAAUAACUGCUAGUCAUUAGCAGAACUUAUGUGAGACCCUAGUGGUGACACCUACUACAGUGCUCCGCCAUAUCCAACAUUUACUAAUUCAAAAAUAAUUAGCAUCCAUCUACAUCUACCUUGAAUAUAAACUAUCAUGCCAUUUAAUGCUGAUGAUCAAAUUCUACUUCUCUUUAUUUCUGCUAAAAUAAUUUGUUCACUCAUGAUGAGAACAGUGAGAAAAACAAAAAUAGGCUAAGGAAGAAUUGUAGAAUAGUUGUCAAACUGGGUAAGCAACCAACAGAGUGGUGAAUAAAAUUAGAAAUUGUGAGACUAUAGAAUGUCUUGGUGCAAGUAAUGACAAGAGAUGCUUAAUGACUUUUUCUCUCCUUUCUGUAAGGCUUGUUCUUUCUCAAUUCAUUGGAAUGGGGAGUGAAAGAUGAUUUGGUAGUUAAACAUGGGGCCAUGUCUAGCAGCUCAUUAUCUUACUUGAUAUUUCAUUAGUUCAUCUUUGGCAUUCACAUUCUUUCAGUACAUUAAAAAAUAUCUUUGCUGGAUUUCAUCUCCAAUCACUCUACAAUUCUUCUAUCAUUCCAGCCCCUAUCCAGAUUGCUACACACUGAACCUCUUAACAAUAUUUUAAUUUCCCACGUACACAUACAAGAGUUUUCAUCUCAUGCAGAAUCUAGUAAAUUUUCAUUUGGCAUGAUGAAGGGGGUAUUUGUUAAUGGCAGAGAAGACUUUCUUUUAAAUUUUAAAAAGACUAGCAGUCAAGUUAUAUUCUUGCUUUAGCUAACAUAUAAGGAAUGUCUAUUUUUGCCUUAAUGCUGAAUUCCACUUAAUAGAUGAUAACUUGGACAGAGAAUGUGAAAUAUAUGUCCCAUAAUAUGAUUGCUAAAUUUCUUUUGUCUAUGCUUCAUACUACUGCUUUGUUUUAUCUUGACCAUCUUUUAAAGUUAAGCCACUAUGCCAUAUGGUUUAGAAUAUAAUAUUAUAUUGAAAUUAGGCAAUAAUUCCCAUUUUAAAAUAUCUCUAUUAAGAACUACCAGGAUACUUGUUAAUUCAGUUGUAGAUUAAUACAACAUUUGGGAGAAAAUGAGCCCUAUCUCAUCCUAAAUUUUAAUAUUUUCAGAAAGGACUAUGUAUUUUUUUUUUUUAUCAUUGGUUCAUGUUAUCCUAUAAGAAUGUUUUCUCUCCAUAUCUAACAGUUUGAACUGCAAGAUUUUUACCCUGGUCUGGACGUAUCUGAAUGUUAGCAUAGAUACUAGGAAUCUGACUAUAUUAGGAAAUUAUCCUUACACCAAGUUCACCAGAUCCAGCUGGGCAUUUGCUUUGCACAAAUCCUCUCAGUUGAGGGGUAGAAAGAAGCCAAAAUCCAACCUGAAAUUGGCUUCUCAAUUCAGAAAUAUUUUUAUAUUUUGCAGAAGAGCACUUUAUUAGCUUAUAAUCUUGAGAAAAUGAGAAUCAAAUAUUUCAAAAUGGUCCCUGACAUUUGCAAAUUGAAUAGUAAACUUGUAAAAAAAUACUUUAGAUUUUCUUUCCACAUUUCCAAGAAAGCAAAAGAGAUUUUAUGUUUUUCUCGUUGAUUUAAUUUUUCAACCCAAUCUGUAGCAAGCCACAUCGACCCUAAUUUUUUUUGUCUUUUUUUUUUUUUUUUUCUCUUUAUAGGGGCGUACCUGCAGCAUUUGGAGUUUACCAGGCUAGGGGUCUAAUCAGAGCUGUUGCUGCCAGCCUACACCAGAGCCACAGCAACACCAGAUCCAAGCUGCGUCUGCGACCUACACCACAGCUCAAGGCAACGCUGGAUCCUUAACCCACUGAGUGAGGCCGAGGAUCGAACCUGCAACCUCAUGGUUCCUAGUCUAAUUCGUUUCUGCUGCGCCAAGAUGGGAAGUCCAGGACCCUAAUUUUUACAUCUUCAUUGAGUUUUUAUUCCAUGUCCAAACCUAUUCUUUAACUUUACCUUUAAAAAGUCAAUUACCUUCCUAUGUUCUGUCUAACCAAUGCAAAAUUAGCAUGAGAUUUACCAGUAUCUCCAUUUCCUCCAAUAGGCUAAAUAUAAGCAAUUAAAUAUUUUAAAAGUCCAAUUCUUUUUUUUUUUUCUCUUUAGCCAAAAUAUUAAACUCUAGUUCAUUUCCACAGUGACUAGUGUUAAGCUCUUGUACUCUUCUGAUCCUAGACUGGAGAAAAUUAUUCAAACUUAAUUUGUGUUUCAGGUUUUAAAAUGUCCUAAAAACAGAAAAUUAGAUUCAGGUAUCAAAAAAAGGAAUUUUGGAUUGACUUUCAAUGUACUAAUACUAAUUAUACUUUUCUUUUGGUAGUGUGACUUUUCUUAUACCUAAGAACAUAUUACAAAUGUCAAAACCACUGCAUUUUGACUUUGCAAAACAUGCCUUGAACUCUUGAACCACUGUGAAAAGAAUCACUGUUGUAAAGACUUAUUGUAAGCUAGCUGAAAUUCUUAAGAAUGUAAAAAGAUGUUACCUUUUAAUAGACAGGCAGAAAUGAAUGUAUAUAAGAAAUAUGAAGACAUAUAAUCGGUAUUAAAAUGAGAAUUAGGCAAUAAAUUGUAUAAAAAAAUAUGCAGAUGGAAAUUUUAGCAGUUGCAAUUUAAUCAUUGAAACUGAAGAAUUCCAAAUUCCAAAGAGAAGUGAAUGAUAUUUAGAUGUUUCAUUAAUUUCUAGCCUGUGGAAUAUGCAUUUUAUCGUAAUAUAUGUAUACUUGUUUUGUUUAAAAAUAAGAGUAUUUUAGAAUUUAGUAAGAACUCAAUGAUACCAAAUGUUUUUGGUAUCAAAAAAACUUUGCCAACAGCAAGUUAUAAAAGUAUUUAUUUUAAUGCUUUUAAAAAUAUUAUUGCAUAACUUUCAGUUGCCUCUGGAUGUAAAUAGGAAUCUGCCUAAAUGUUAUAUUUUUAUGUAUUCAUUUCCCAAAAAUGUAUUGUUUUGCAAAGUGGCAAAGAUAAUAAAUUAAGCACUCCUUGCACUUGUUUCUGUGAAGCAUAUAGAGUUCUAUUUUAAAUAAAAAUAAAAUGUGUCAUAUUUCAGUUU
rnacentral:lncRNA from 1 species